rnacentral:lncRNA from 1 species
CGGCGCUGUCAGUCGGAGAGGGCGAGUCCCCCCGCUGCCCGGGCUGCGCUCUCGUGGGGCGGGCGCUGCUGCCGGGCGUCGCGGCGGCUGGUGCUGGUGCGGCUACGGGCGGAGCAGGGAUGCCGGCUGCGGGGCGGCGGGCGGCACUCCGGCGCGGAGCGGAGGGCGAACGCGGCCGGUAAGCUCCGGCCGCGGGGAGGGAAGGCGGAUGCCUGUCUCUACGCGCGUCCGUUCCGCCUGGCGCCGGAGGGGCCGACGGCAGCGUGACGGCACGGGCGGAGCAGCGGGCGGCGAGAUGCCCGGGAUGCCCGGGGCGGACCCCUCGCGGCGCCCUUCGGCCGUGCCCGCGUCCCGGUGCCCGGGCGGGACCGGCGGCGCGGCGGGAACUUCGGAGCGGCGGGUGUCGCGGCGAGGGGGCGAUGCUCGCCCGGCGGUCGGCGGAGUGCGGCGCGGAGCUGUCACCGCCGCUUCGCCGCCGCCUCGGGAGGGCUGGGGGCGCCGCGGGGGCUGCGGAGACGGCGCCGGGGGUGCCGCCCUGCCGACGGGGUGCGGCGGCGAAGGACCCGGGCCCCGCGGCGGUGCCCCGCGGCUGAGAGCGGUGGCGGAGGGAAGCCUUCGUGAACUGGGGACCGCACCUGAGCGCGGCGGGCUCGGCCGCUCGGCGGGGCCGGGAGGCGGUCACGGCUGCACACUGCGCCCUGAAGUUGGCGAAGCGGGGAGGGAAAAGUUAAAGGAGGUGAACCGUCACCUUGGUGGCGGUGGGCGGUACGUGACCGCUGGCUGUGAAGGCAGAGGCGUUCCGAAGACGAAGUCCCGCUGUCCGUGCACGCUCUUUCUCAUUGUUCUUCAGCCUCCUUUACUCCCAGUGAUUGGAGGUGGUGCCGGAGGGCUUUGGAGAAUUGCCAGAUCUCGCAGACCGGGGAGCAAAAGAAAAAGCCUUUAGAUGCCCGUUAUGUUCGUUAACGUAAACAUUCGGAAUCUUGAUUGUAUCGCGCUGUAAGGAAUUGUGAGGGGGCCGCCAAACUAUGCGGUGAUGGACCCGAUCCAUCCGUCAUGGAAGUAGAGAGGUUUUGACAUCGAUUCAGUAGUAAGCAGCGUCCAACAUUAACAGUUGAGGGGACGGCAGCUUCUGUUACAUCUUGGGGUAUUUUGCGUAUGGGGGCUUUUUAAGCAGUACGAAACAGUUUUGUGUCUUCAGGAAACACCAAGAGCAUUUAAUUCCAACUCUUUGAUUCUUUUGUAGCUGCAAGCCUCCCUCCCUGCUUUCUAGGAGUGUAUUGACUUGGUUCUCACCUUGUUGAUCCGUAGUGUUCUGCUUCCUUAGUUCAGUUCUGAGGGGGCAUUCCAUCACGUGAUGCACAACGUGCUGUCAGAAAUUUACAGAAUCAUGCAACGGGUGGCACACAUGGAUGAAUAACGAGAGUAACCAGAGUAACCGGUGGGAGCCCCGUGGUUGCUUUGGAGAGCUGAAGCCUUGAUUUACAGCUGCGUGGGAAGUACUGGAAAACAAUUAGAGGUGUUGAAUUUAUAACUGAUGCAGGUUAAUGCUGUUCCCUCCCUGCAUACUUAUCCAAUAAAUACCUUUAUUGACAGAGCAUAAAUGGCUAAUGAAAUUUCAGUUUCCUGUGUGUCGCCAGUUCCGGACUGAUCCAGCAAAAUGUCAUAUUGGCAAACCAGUUUUUCAGAAAUAGGGUUUAGUUCUGUGAAUCGAUGUCCUUCGAGUACUUCAGGUUAAUUUAGAUGCCUGUGGCAGAGAGUGAUCCCGAUCCAAGUGGCCGUGACGCAGUGCAUGAGAUGCACUCGGCUGUGCCAGGCUGCCUCAUACCUCACCUGUGCUUUCCUUGCAUGCCUUCUUUGGGAAGUAAAAGACAAAUUUGAUGGUGAAGAUGAAUGGAAUUCUUCUAAGACCACGGGCUGAAAAUACCAACUUUCUUUCUUCGUUCCCUUAUGGGUGAUACACAAAAUCUAGAAAUCCAGUCUCUGAAUGGGUGAUCUGUAGAAGCACCAUCACGAGCAGUCUAUAUUUGUGAUACUUAUUUCACUGGCAUUGUUCUCAGGAGGAUUAUGCAAGCAGGAGAAUAUUUGCCACUGAAUUAGCUACACAGCCUUUUUCUGAACUAUUUUCUUCAUCAUAGUUCUUCUGACCUUUUCCAGAAGAUCAGAACAUUUCAAUUGUAUAUUUUCAGAAGGGUGCUUGAUUCACUGUGGAUUUCUCUUCUUUGUCUGUUAAUAAAUAAUGAAGGUUUUCUGGAGCAUUUUAUUAAUUAUUUACUUGUUAAAACCAUUAAUCGGCUGUGGACUUACUGAUAGUGAUCGCUGUUGUCACUGUGUGGUGCACAUACCUAGCUAAAGCUAGAGGAGAACACAGGAGUUGCAGAGACCAUUAGACUGCUUUUCAUAGUUUCAUGAACACAGUAUGUAGAACAUAAUGAGUCCAUCUGUAUACUUUACAAUUAGAAGGACACUAACAACAACAAAACCCUAGAUUUUCUAAGCAGCUUUUGUGAUAAUAAUUUUUUACAGGAAGUAUUUCCAUAUGCAUUGUAAUAAGAAAUCUGGAACUGAAGCAGUCGGAUAAUCCUGUCACAUCUGCAAGAUUCAGAAAGGAGCAUUUCGGUUUCCCUCUGUGCAAGCAUGGGAAAGUGCUGCCUGUUCAGCUGUGUAAAUAAGGAUGGAUACGAAAAUAUGAGUAAUGUAAUUUACCACGAGUAGUAGGCAAAUUAUUUUGAUGCAGCUAAGUGAAACAAGUGGCAUGUGUAUUCAGAAAUACAUAUUUACAUUUUGUUGAACUACUGAAGAGUUGCGGAAGGAUCAUAGAAAAGAUGAAUGAAUGAUGCAUCUCCUUCGAGUUGUAUUAGAUCACACAAACGGAACACUGAUCUUUUUGGAAAAGCUAAUGCUGUUUUUGAUCUGCAGUAAAAAUACUGAACUCGCAGCUGCUCAUACAGUCUCCAGCAAAUGCAGAGACUGCAUACACUGAUGUAUGGAAGCUCUGCAGAAUUCAAGAUAAGCAAAGCAUAAAAUGCCUCUGCAUCCAAGUGUUCCCUUUCUCACUUACUGGCAUCAGAUGUUUCCAAAUGGCGAUAGUAUCUGCUGCUGCCCAGCGCCACCAUAGGCGUACGUGAGAGCCCAAGACUGCUCUUUUCAGCUCCUGUGUAGUUGGUGAAUGCUCUCCAAUGAAGUUAACAAAGGAUGCUCUUAAACAGGAUGUGGGAAUUCAGCUCCUAGGGCUGAGGACAUAGCUCUUCAGCAGAGAAACAGGGCAAGAGUGGAGAUGGGCAGUCCUGUGACUGACUGAUGCUCAGUCAAGCAGGAGCAAAUUUCAGCAGAGCUGUGCAGACUGCAGAUGUGUUGGUGGCUGAGAUCAGCUUUCUAGAGUUCAUCCAGGAGAAAGAAAAUACGUACAGUCUCAAAGCCUUGGGCCUGCACGUGGGUGCUAUUUAAGACAGAGAGGUAUCAGGAUGUGAUAAUGAAUGAUGUGUCUCAUUUACAAGCACUCAUAUCGCUACCUAAAAUGUAAAAUUGCUAGACAUUUUGCACAUGUAAUGCGGAGUGGACACUUUUUUAAUGCUCCUGCAUUGAAAUUUUUGUAGCUCUCAAUAUGACCUGCCAACUAUUGGGAGUAAUCUAAAUAUCUGUGAUAGUUACUAAUGCAUAUAUGAACAUAUAAUUUAAUGUAUAACAUAUGUAUUUCUUAAAUAUAUGUAGUGAUGCAUGAAGUAUACGCUUCAUCCUUCCAACGAACAUCAAAUUACCAAAUACUGGAGAGGGAGUUAAGGGGAAGGACGAAGGAUACAUUAUACAACUGAAAUCAUGUGAGGAUUCUGUUGAGCUGUAUUUAUUUACUUCCGUGGAGCGUUGCCAGCACACCUUCUCCCUUUGCAUAAGGUGUUCCAUAUUAACAGUGGUCUCAAAAUACUUCAGUUAUAAUGUGCCUCCCAUUUCAUGUAGAAAAAAAAGAGAUGGGAACAUCCCCUAUAGAUACUGUCUGCCACCCUCAUUUUUUUAAGACUUCUGUCUGAAUACCAGUCAGUUUUAACUCUUAUUACCUUUUGAGAUUUGCUGUAGUAGAAAUGUGAAUGACUUAUGUGCCUAACCUUGCCUCCCUUUGAGCUGCUCUGCAGAUCUGCUGCUGGAGGAGCUGAUGUUUGUUUCUUUUGUCCCUCAGCAGGUGGCUACAUUUUCAUUGAAAUAGCUGAUCCUGCUGUGGAACAACAUCUGUGGCUUUGUGGGAGUCACAAUGGCUGAAAUAAUUCAAAUAUUUCCUCUUCAGUCUGACCCUUAUUUUUAUUAAAGAUAUAGUGCUUAUUUAUUGCUUAAUACGGGAUAUUAUAUAUUAGAACAUAUGCUGAAGGUCUUCUGUAACUUAGGUCUUUCAUAGCUGAUAAGAAGCAGGAGCGUAGCCUUUGUGUGCGUGUGUUCUAUCGAAACUUGAAAGGUGUAAAAAGAAAAAGGACAGAAGGAAAACUCUAUUGGAUCAGACCAGUGGGCUGUCAAACUCAAGGUUCUGCCUCCAGCAGCGACACUGAGAUGCUAUUUAGGGACUAUACACAAACCUAGUCACUUCAUGUGUUCUAUUCCCUUAUACUUUCCCAGCAUACUUCUUGUAUGAGAGAUGGUUAUGUUUAUCGCUUUUAGGGCCUAUUCACAAAUUUGCAAUCCAAGAAUUUGCCUGAUUUUUCACACCUGUUAAUGCUUACUACUUUUACAACCUCCUUUGGUGGCAAGUUUCAGAAAUUUACUACUAACUUUGUAAAGAAGCUCCUUAAUCUCUCGUAAGCUGAUCUCUUGUUAAGUUUUGUCAGAUGUCCCUGAGUACUCUAGUACUGGAGGAUUUAGCAAGCAGAAGUUUUAUUUUAUUCACUUUUCUCAUGGUUUGAUUGACCAAAUCUUAUUUUAGCCUUAUCUCCAACUGAAGAGCCUCUUUGGUUUCUUUUUCUAAGGAAGGCACUCAUCCUUUUGCUAUCUUUUUUGCCCUCCUUUAACUUCUGGAGUGUCAAGAGACCAGAACUUCAUACAGUCCUUGAGAUGCAGGUGGGCCAAGUUUGCACAGAUGUUUUCAGUCCUGUUACCAGUGCCUUUUGUGAUGAUAUAUUAGCCCAACAUUUUAUGAUUUUUUUUUUCUGGUUGCUAUUGCACAUAGAACUGGCAAUUCUGGGGAUAAGUCAAUUAUGAUUCCUAUAUUUCUUCCCUGAGUCAUUAGUCAGCAUCAUGAAUAGGAUUAUUUUUCAUUGUACAUAUUGGCCUAUAUUUAUCUAAACUGAUCUUUAUCUAAGCUGAUGUAUCAUUUUGUCUACUGAGUUUGCCUACUGAGUUUUGAGAGGUACUUCUGGAUUAUAUAUAGCAUAUAUAUAGCAUGCCAUUAGUUCUGUACUCUUCUUGUCUUUGUCAUAUUUUUUUCCAACAGUAUCAUUUCUUAAGAGUUUUUUUUUUUCCCCCACGUCUACAUCUGAGGGCUGAGAGGAAUAAAAGUGUUACAGCAAAUCAGCCAUGGUGUUUGAAGAUCUUCAAACUAGCUUGUAUAUAAGCGAAGCUUUGCUUUUUGGAUGCGUUUUCUUUGUUUGCAUUUGUUUCAUUUGGUUUGGUUGCGGUGUGUUUUCUGUUUGCAUGUUUGUUUUGAACAUCAGCAAACUUGAGCUCAGCAGAAUAAGAGGUUAAGGCUAUCAAGAAAAGAAAAAGGUAAAAAAAAAACUCUGAAAGGUGCCAUUCAUAGCAUAGAAUCCAACUGCUCUGAAUGGUUUGAGUCACAUUGAUUGCUGUUGAAAUUAUGCUUAAUUAAAAACCAAAGAAAGUUUUAAAACAUCAGAGAGCAAAGUGAUGUUUACUCAAAGAACUUUAGUCCUUACUAAGCAUCUCUAUGGAUUCAGUACAGAAUGGUCUUAACCCUACCACUAUCUUAUUAAUCACCUUCCAUUUGUGUGCUGCAUUUCAUAGUAAUAUACAGGAUUAUGAGCAAAGCUUCUCUCCUCCUCCCCCCCCAGCCACAUACACCCCUCUUCCCAGUUUUAUUAGAGGUCAGGCUGGAAGCCCACCAUGUAGAAAAGAUGUCUUCAUAUUCCUUGUUCAAAUACAGGCUUCUCAUUUGAUAUUCAGAGCAUGGCACUUAGAAGAGCCGCUGCAUUGCAAACAGAAUUGAGAGUGAGGUUUAAAGAAACAUUAGAAAGAUAUUAUUAGUGUGCUGCACUACUGCUUGGUAUUACUUAGUAAUAAAAGUGGUUUCACAGGAGUGACUCCAACUGCUAUCUGUGAUGAUCCUGUUGUCCUCUUCUCCCACCCAGGUAACCCCAUCCCUCUGCUGUGCCAGUCCUUACCCUUUGCAGAAACAUUUCAGUUUAUUAAUCUGGCAGAACACAGCUCCUCCCAACAAACCCCAUGGUUUGAAAAACAAAACAGAAAAGCACUUUCUGCUGGCUUCAGAGUGCUUCAUGGCAGACCUUAUGAAGGAUGAAGAAAGGAGGGAAUAGCAUGAUGAGGUAAAUGGAAAAAGAGAGCAAAGUGGUUGACAGGCAGCUGUUAAAUUGGCUUAUGAAUUUGUCAGAUCACAGCCUGAAGUGCUGUUCUCUUACUUGACUUACUAUUGUUAGAGUACUUGGCAGAAGCAUAGGAGUAUUUUAAUAUUCAACCUAUUGCUUUGUUAAUUAAAAUGUUUAGCUUAAGGAAUUAUAUUUUACAUCCUUUAAAGGCCCCAGCUGUUCUCCUAUCCACUGAUGAGGUCAUCUGCUGUGCAAAUCUGGCUCUCUAGAUUGUGCUACCAGCUGUAGUUAUUUUCAGCAAUGGAAUUAUUCUUUCAUUUUGUUUUCUACCAUAAGACAUUCCACCAAAAUAGAAAGUAGCAUGUUCUAUUCAAGUAUUUUAUAUUCAUAUUUCUACUAUUUGAAUUUAGUACGGGGUGGUCCAAAGCCAGCUUCCUGAGCUAUUUAUUGGCUCCUGUUUAGCAGCAUCUCCAGCAAACAAGAUAAGGCAGUGGUUUGCCACAGAAAAGGGCUUUGGUGUAUUACUUUCACGUAGAAUACCCAAAAACUCUCCUAGUGGUACUUCAUGACAGAGUGAUGCUGGCUCUGUGUACAGUAGCUGCAAAGUCAUGGUCAGCUUCAUAUUAGCUGACACUGCUCAAGAAUAAUAAGCAAUAGUGAGCUCGUGAUAGUCUGCAAAAUGUCAUCAGCAGAUAAAAACACUCGUUAGCAUAUAGUCUGCUUGUUUGUUGGUUGUGGGGUUUUUUUUUGAGUACUUACUGGAAUGUAGCGGUAAUUGAUGAAUCUGCUGUGAGUACAUUUAGAAGCAUACUGAUAGAGUAGUACCACUUACACUGCUUAUUUGCCUUAGACAGACUAUCAUCAUGAAGUGGAACUUGCCUUCCACUGGUUCAUUAUGACAAUAUCUUCUUGUGUUAAGAUGUAUGUAAUCAUUCAUACAACAUUUCUCUAAGAUACUUCCCUAGAAAAAGUCAGCUUUCAUAUGAAAGGUGGUUCAUGUGAAGAAAGCCACUGAGAUGCCCACAUAUUAAUAAAAUAAACACAAAGUCUAGGGAAGCAUGUGUUGGUUCAAUAAGAAUACAGAUGUUGUAAAGUAGUGGAUGAUCAAUAAGUACACGGAGAAGUUAGGCUUAGUAAGAUUAUCACGUUAGAAAAGAUAAUCAUAGAGAAAUAAAAGUGCUCACCAGCGUUGUAGGCUCAUAAGAAGCUUCACAAGGACCUAUCUCCAGAGAGAGAUCCUUCCUCAGUGGCAGUCAGCCCUUAAAUGGGGUCUAGGAGAGGCGCAGCCUGCCUUCUCCUGUGCUCCCAGGGCUGACUCAGUGCUCUGAUUGACCUCAGGUGGUCAAUCAGAGGUCCAGGCCGUGAUUCAACAGUUCCCAUACAUGAGGCACACCUGAAGUCACCUGGCAAUCAUUUUUAGAACUCAAGGAAAAGAAAAUGUAUUGAUGUCCCAGUAAAAGUAAGAAACAUACAGGUGCCAAUUGAACUUGCCUUUCCUAAAGCAUGUCUCUCUUCUCUGUUCAGUCAUUCAUCCAAAUUACUGCAUGCUUUCAUUUCACUACUAGGUUUGAAGUGCUUGUCCUGUAGUGAGACAGGACAUCAGCAAAGAGGUGCAUUAUGUCUGAGGAUGUCCUGUGUACUUGGUACCCCUUUCAGUGAAAUGAAGGCUCAGACCUGUUGCCUUCUUCUGCCGUACAGUAAUGAAAAUUCAGGAGAUGUUCUCUAUGAAGCAAAGCACUAAUAUUUCAUGUAUAACCCAUAUGGAAGUGAUUAAAUUGCUUUACAAGGAAAAGUUGGUGUGCCAGUAGCACAGAGCAUUACAAGCUAAUACUGCCUCUAUCUGAGGAUGUAUUGUUUUGUGGUAAUGAAAUAUUGUAAUAACCUCAACCUCCUCUAGAGAAGAACCUCAGCUGUGUCUCUCUGGAGUUAUUCUUCAGACAGGAUUAUUAUUCUGCAUAAAUAACUUAUGUAAAAAGCAGUUACAAUAAACAGAGCUGUAAGAAUGGAAUGACCAUAUUCAGAGUUAACAAAUACAUAAGAGGUGAGCUAGUACACAAGUUAGUAGAUAGAAAUUAUAAAAAUUAAAAGAAAAUAAGAGGAAAAAAACAGAUUUAAAGAUUGUUGAUUUCUAGACAAGCUUCAUAUUGAGGUCUCUAUCCAAAGCCUACAGGACUAACUAAUGCAGUCUUUAAGAGCUCAGUUAAUUUCAGUUGGCCAAGUUCUCUGUCCUCUCCCACAAAGUGCAAAGUAAGAAUGAGCUGAGUUUCAGUCAGUUGUUUUCAGGAUUUCAGUAGUUCACACAUCUUCAGUGCAUUUAGCGGCCUUCUCUUGAACAUAGCCUUGCAAAGAGUUCUAGCUUCCUUUUCCCCAAACAGUGUAAUGUGUAGGUUCAUCAGGAUACUUACUAUCUACUAUUCCAUGUUUGUUUUUUCUUUGCUUAUGAGGACUUAGCUUCUAUAGAAUGAUUUUAUUGUCAGGAACAUGUUACUCAGUAUUUCUACUAUAUUCUGAAAAUGCUAAGAGAAAAUAAUGAAAACUUUUUUGUGAGUUUGAGCUAGGAAUUCAAGUUGCCAGUGUAGCUAAUCUUGAAAUGCAGAUUUAAUGUAAGAUUUAAUGCUUUAGAGAAGCUUUGAAGUGUCAGAGGAAAGGGAAUUUUAUAUUUGUUUUUAGCUCAUUCGGCCAGGUUUUUCUUAAAACAGUGCCUUCCAAGCAAAACAGCAAUAGUCACUUCUCCAAAAGCAUUCAAGAAUGGCGUUCUUUCAUAUUAAUGAGAGUUUGGGAUGUAUAUCUAAUAGACGGUAUAAUUUGAUGUUCAUGAAAGUAAAGUAGAGAAAUGAUAGCAAAUAUUUUAUUAAUUAAUUAAUAUUUUUCUCAACCUAUGUUAAAAUGUUUAUGCCUCUGUAUAAAGGGUAAAACUGACAGUGUUAUCUUCAUAUUUAAUUCUUAAAGGUUUUUUUCUCUACUGUACUUGGCUUUUUUUUUUUUUUUCACUCUUUCCUCUUUGAUUAGUUUGUAUAUACAUAGCAGGACGUAUCAUAUGCGUAUAGUGCCUUUAUCCUUUCAAAUAUAAAAUUUUUUCUUCAUUUCUGGGCUAAGUUUAAUCCAGUUGUUUCUUGUGAGGAAAUUCUGAACUCUCCUAUGGAGCCUGAACACAGCGGUACAAAAAUGCGUUACCUAGAAUUUUAGUGCCUGUUAUAAACUUAAAAGGAAACACUUUUUCUUCUCUUCUUGCUAGAUCAUACCUUGUGUAUUGGUAUGAGAAUCGUUCUAUAUACAGAAGACAUGACCUUGCAGACCUAAAAGACACAAAGCUCACAGAAAAGUCAACAGGAGCUUUGUUCAUGAAAUGAGAAUUUCACUGAACUGAAAACCGUACUACUACUGAUAAAACUUUGCAUCAAGCUCACACUUAUAGUACUGUAGCAGCUACACCAGCUACAAUGAACUCUCGCAUAGACUGCAGUUUGAACUUCUAGUGCUUUGCUCAGUACAGAAGUGAUGAAUACCUGGAAAUGCUUUUGUGUGCAUGCCUGAUAGUUACCAAGUGACACUGAAGAUGAUUGCUUUGGUUCAGGAAUUUGGCAUGUUGUUUAGCAGCUUUCUAGCUAAGAUGUAUAUCAGUGGCAAUGACAUGACAUAGAAAACAUGUGUCUGCUUCACAGAGUCAACUGUCUCUGGGAUUACAUUUUAGAGUUGUGUUAAAACUUGGCAUAAGCUUGUUGUGAAUUUUAUUUGCACUUAUUUCAAGGUCAGUUUCCCUAAAGGAUUGCAAGGAAGAUGCUUAAAGUGUAGCCACAUGCAACUCAUCCUAUUUUAUUUUAUUUUAUUUUUUGUCAAAGAGGCUAUCGAUCAACAUACGCGUUGUUCAUUGUCCUUUCCUAAUCUAUUGAAAGAAUAGAUUGCUUUCCCUCUAGAGCUCUAUAACAGUUGUAAAGAUGGGUAGAAUUUCCUAAAGGGAGAGGGGAAGUCUUCUCUGCUUUUGCUAUUUGAAUUGCUAUUGUCUGUAGCUAACAGGUGCUGGUUUCUCUUCUGUCCCAGAAUUGCUGUCUCUACGACCAUCAACAAGGCUGCAUGCCAGUGGAAGAUGAUGUAGAUCCUAAAUUUUGUUAAGCCUUUACAGGACUUCCCCUCUGAACUGAUGAAGCUGUGUGCAUGCGCUUAUUUUUAGACCAUUUGCAACUGAACCACAUAUGUUUCACAGCGUGAUAGGAGGGAUACAGUACUGCUGCUUAGGAGUAACAAGCAGUUUUGAAAACCUGAGUGUCCUGGGCUAUAUGCCUUUUUACACAACAGUGUUGCAAAAGAUGUUUUUGAAGGUUUGCAGUAGAGUUUUUCAGUUGAAUUUGGUAGUGGUGACAAGUUUGACAUCUGAAAAACAUGAAUUCAUCCUUUUAUCCACAAAACAAACAUCACAAACAGCACCAACUUAAAUUAAUCUCCUCUAUGCCAAUGCAUUCUAUUUAUUUUAUAACUUAGUGUGAAUACCUGGUGAGCAAACUUAUGCACAUGCUUUGUUUUUUGCUUAGUUAUUGUCUUCAUUUAAAGUAAUUGCAUGAUUUUAUUUGCGCAUAAGUGUGAUUUUUUUUAGGAUUGUUUUUUUAAAUGCCAGUAACUGUGACAAUAGCAGUGCUUUUCAUUUUUUAUGUGGAUUAAAUGUGCUGUAAGCAAAUUUAAAUGAACACAACUGCACUGAAAGUCUACUCCGUGGGCAGAGGUACCCAAGUGACUCCUGCACAUAGAAGCAAGACAGUCACAAUCAUCUGGUAUGUCAGCUGCCCAACCAGGAAGAUACAGCUGUGUCUGAAGAGUGUAACACUUGGGUCAUCUAUCUUUUCAUUGAACCCAGAGUCAAUCCCAUCUCUUUUAAGGAUCUGGUCAUUUUUAUGUUGAAGUAGAAGACAGCAUUUCUGGAAGCCUGACUGCCUGUAAAAUCUUAAGCAAAAUUUCUUCAGUGUCCAUAGCUUCCUUCUAUGCCAGUAUUACAUAGAGACAGCAAGAGGGAAAGUGCAUUAUUUUGGACAAAAUGAUUUCUCUAAUAUUCCUUAAAAUAUUUGCUGUUAAGUAGAAAAAAAUAGAAUGGAACUGUAAUAAAGAAUAUUUGUCUGUAUUAAUUCUAGUUGAUUUUAGAACAUUGUGUUGGAUGAAAAGUCAGAAAUUUACUUUAUAUAUUAUUAAAAGAAGAUACUGUGAUUUGGUAGGGUAUCUUUAUCUAGAGUUCAGAUUAAAUUAUUUAUUCUAGUGUUCACUAAUGUCAUUCAAGGCCCAUGCGCGUGCAAGCACACAAAAACUGGUACUGUAAGCUCAACAAUUGAUAAUAUACAGCCCUUUACAUGUAUAUACAUCUUUUAGCUAGGGACUUCUUUUUUCUCUCUGAAAGCAUCUUUUAUUUAAAAGUUGGAAACUAGUGCAGUUCUAAACAAAUAUAAAAUGGGUUUGUAAUUUUUACUCCUUGAACAUCUACUGUUUACUAGAUUUCUGCUGUAGCAUCAACUUGGUAUAAUUUUGCUUGGCAAUAAAAUAAUUUUCUUCUAAAACUUAAGAGUUGUCUCAAAAAAUUGUUACGCACGUUGUAUAUUUUAUAUAUAUUUACAGCGUUAUUAGCACACUUAAAAAGACAAAUUAGAGGCCUUAGUCAGAACAAACACAAAAUGUUAAUUGCUGCAGAUAAGCAUGUUUGGUCUACUUAUCAUCAAUAAGAAAGCUGAUGCUAGAAGGUCAAGGGAAAAAGGAUGACUUGACAUGGCUUUGCAGAGAACCGGUCUCUCUAUCACACGUCCUUGGUUUUUGAAAUGUUAUGGGAUUCAACCACUAGGAAAUAUACUUUGAAUAAUGUAUGACUAGUGCUAGUUAUUCUUGUCUGCAGUGACUACCACCACGUUAAGUAUAACCAUCUAAUAAAGAGAGUCAUGGUACCUACUCUAAACUAAUCCAUUCUAUGAUUCUAUAACCAACCAUUGAUCUAGAUUUACAGUCCAGAAAUGCCUGUUUGAAGCCAAAUAGUCCAGCUUGAAACUAACUGCGUCCUCUGGCUCAGUGUUUCCUUCUCAGCAAUUCCCUCAUCACUUUUUGGCAGCAGUUCUUGUUCACCGGUUGUCCCGUAUUUAGCAGUACAAGCAUACUGAACUAGGUGACCCCAGCACAAUUAACAUCCACCUCGUAGGCUUGCCUGGGGGAGGGGGGGGAGGUUUCUGGCUGCUGCCACCCCCUUUGCCUUGACAGAAGUCUCAAAUUGCUUCAACUUUGAUGCUGUUUAGUGGGAGGUUCUUUUCAUGUUUGGAAGUGUAAGUUAGCUGCUAUUACUCAGUUAUUUCUAUUAACAUAUUUUCUAGUAUGUUAAAUGAAUACAAAACUUGCAACAGCCACAUCUCCCUAUUUGCUAGAUGUGAAGCACAAAGCUAGUAUUUUUAAACAAGGAGCAGUGAUCUCCGGCUUUCCCCAAAAAGCUCAUUUAAAGCGAUUUGAGGUAACAUGGGAAGUAAGAGUCCACCUUAAGGCUGGGAGUCCUUUGGAAAUAUUUGCAGUCCCAUUCCGUUCGUAAAUGGAGUCCCACCAAAAGGCAGUCUUCCUGAUGUUCCACAGAAUAAAUCCUGUCACUCUCUCCAGCAUGCUAGUAGUUUCAUUUCACGUGCAGAAUGGAUUUCUAGCUUAUGACAAGAUUUUAUUUCUUGUAUAAGUGGUUAGUUUUUAUUGAGGAGAUAGUUCUUGUUUUGGCGGGAAAAAAACGUCAGUAUCAGAACCUAAACUAGGCAAAGGGCUAAAAAUGCAUCUUAAGGACCAUUAGUCAGAGUAAUUUGAGCUGACAGUAGCCAGGAUUGUUUUAUAUAUGAAGUUCAUAAAACAGCAAGUUGGUUUCUUGAGAUGGGGAAAAAUACCUAAAGGGGUACAUUUUUGCUGCAGUUGCUAGGGAGCUGCUUAUGCUCUAUUUGUGGGGUAUAAUGGGAGUCAUGUGUGAAAUGCACUGCACUGAUAAUCUGUCUCAAACUGGUUUGAACUGCAUAUUAUAUUCACAGAGCAGAUCUCAUUGUACAAGUGAAGAUGAUGAGAUGGAUGAUGUUAGUAAUGUUAGGUGACAGAGCCACUGUGGUAUACAAGGUACAGUACAUGUGUCAGUGAGCUGUCAAGAGUGUGACAUGCCUAAAUGAUUUGUGGGUAGGGGCGUGAUUCUACAUAUGUUAUUUGGGAGAUAAGCAUGCUGUUACUGGAUUUCAUUUUUGUUGAAAAUGCAGCCUUAACAGUUUUGUAUUCUUAAAACUACAAAUUAUAUAGCCAUAUCAUUCCCUUUUUUUCCUAAUACAAAGCAUUUCCAAAAAUUAUCCAAAUAUCUUUAAAUACUUCCAUCUUAACAUCAUAUUUAAAAUUUCAAAAAAAUAUUUCCUUAUUGAAUCAAGACGAUGAUACUGUCUGCGAGUUUAAAUUAAUUGCUUUGCUCCUUUAAGCAGCGAUGAACAUUUUUCUCCUAUGCUGUAUGCAGAGAUCAAGUGUGUUUUCCUCAGCAAUUACGGCAUUUGUUCAAAGUGAAUUAGAAAAUCAAAAACAUUAGGAACUCUCUUUAAUGAGAUGAUUAAAGAACCAGGCAAGCAGUGUGAUAUUAAAAUGAAAAUGAAAGGUAUUUCUUAGCAUUUUUAGACAGUGCAGAAAUUCAGAUAGGACGCAAGUUGUGCUGCAUAAACUGCCACAAAGGUUUGCAGCGUCUCAGAAAGUUGCUUGACACAACUGUGUUUGUAGAACUUGAUCAGUUUUAUCUUUCCAGGCUCCGCUGCCUCACCUUGAAGAAUGUUUUCAAUAAGCAACCUUGCUGUAAGCUGUCUGAAAACAUGAUGUUAUUCCUAACAGCAAUUUGAAACUCACUAGGCCUAGCCUUCUCUAAUGUUGUGGACAGAUUACUGACUAAUGCAUACUAACAAAAUGCAGCUGAAGCUGUCACAGUGUAGAGUAGCCAAAGUUUGGUGGUUUUUUUCUGGGAAAAAAAAAAAAGUUUAUAAUUCUCUUUUGCAGAUUAACUUCUUUGACUGUUCCUAAACUUUAGGUUCUUUUCUUCUCUAGUCAACCUUUGGGUAUUUGACUCUUCCUUUAGAGCUUCCUUCCACUAGUCUAAUGUCUGUAAUUUUUCAUAGAAGUCCAAUUGUUGGGGUUUUCUUUCUCCCAAAUAGAUCUUCUCAUAUUGAGGCAACAUCUCAAAUGGAUUCUAAGAGCUCCGUUCACUGUUCAGACUUUGUGUGAUGCCUUCCUUUGAAUAGAUUUCUUUCAGGCACAUUGUACAGAGAAAUAAUUGCUUAAUUUCAGAAAUGUUCCAAAUUUAAUCAAAUGCAGGAGCCUUCUCUGGAACAUUUUACCUUUUUCUCUUAUUCUCAUUUUUUUCAAUUCACUUCUUUUGGACUUAUUGUAAUAUGCUUUAAUUAUUGUCAUUUAUGAUUCAUUUAGUUAUUUGGGUUUGCUGUUACAAACGAAACUUAUAAAACUAGUCACUCCAAAAGGAGAUGGGCCUCUUCAUUAUUUAAAUCAAAAUUCUGUUGAUCCUUUUCUUGAAAUCCAGCACUGAUUUAUUGGCAUUUUUAUGUGUGAAACUAUUAAAAAAAAAAAAAAAGUUGCAUCAUGUCUACAAACGAUGUUUUCAACCUGCAAAUGCAGGGUAACUUGUCAGAUAUUCCCAGACAUCAUACUCUAUUUUUUAUCUUGUUUUUAAAAUGAAAUAUUUUUAUGCCUGCAAGGGAAGAUGUGGUGUUCAGGUAAACACAUCUUCACAAGGGGCUUUUAUAUCAGCUUGUAGUCAACUGACACUCUGCUACAGUUAGCCUUAGUGGUUGAAUGCAGAGAAGUCUGUUACAGAAACAUAGUGUAAGUUCUGAGAUAGCCAUAUACUGCUGCAAUAUGGAACAUCCACCAGAGUCACAUCUGAUUUUAGUGCCAUUCUCUAAUUAUUGAUAAUAUUACAUGUGGUAUUACUAUUAUUGUAUUUCAUAUAUAGUAUAUAUUCCAUAUAUAGUAUUAUUGUAUUCCAUAUAUAGUUAUAGAAUAUUGUAGUAUUUUAUAUAUAAUUGCAUAUAUGUAGCUUUGAUCCCUUUGCAGUAUGCAGUGUAAAUGCAGCUAAAAAACAACGGCCCGUUCUCAGCAGACAAAAGCACUACACUGUUCAUGAUUCAGUCCAUGUUACAUAUGAAUUAUAGGCUACUUUGGAAUUUGUAAUUUUUGCUGUAGAGAAAAAGCAUGUUUAAUGGAACAUAAAUAUUUUCUAGCGAGCUGUAGUUUUACAAACCUUGGGUUCAAAUUCGAUGAGUUUGUUGACAAUCUACUGAUUUCUCUCUACCUUGGAAAAUCUCUUAGGUCAACUGAGCGUUCAGUGUUUUAUCACAGAUACAAACUGUAAACUCAGUGUGAUUAUUGAUGUUGCACAAACAGUCCGAAAACUGUAUUCGCAUUUCCAGAAUUUUUCCAUUUCUACUUCAAGUAGGUUACUGGAGAAUUAUUCUAAAAGACUGCUUGUGCAAAAGGAUGUAAGAGAUCAGCACGCAGCAGUAACCUUUUUCAUAUCCUAACUAUCAAACUGAUGGUUGUGUGCAUUAGUGAAGUGUAUAUUUUAUGGAGAUCUGCACAGACUUUGUAGAGAAUUAUACUUCGGACAAGACUGGGAUUUUCAGGCUAUACUGAGGGAAGAGGACAUAGGAAUAGAUAGAACAGCACUCCGAUUUUACCAUCCACUACACUUUUGUUGGGAACAAAAUUAAGUGGGCUUUGGCACCGAGCUGUUAAAACCUAGAUAUUUACAGAAGGCAAAAUGAACAUCUGUGAAACUUGUUUCCAGAGCAGCAGCCACCUGAAGUGUGCGCACUCAUAUGCAGAUCCCUGGUUCUCCCAGGAAAAUGCUCAGGAAUUUGAGGUGCGGCGUAGGGAAAAUAUUGCAGUUACUGCUUCUGCUUUCAUAAGCUUGUUGGCUGCAAGGGUGAAUUGAGCAAUGCUGGGUUGAUACAGCUUGAAUUGACAGUAAUAGUCCUGUAGGGAGUGACAGUCAGGAGUUGCCAUAAUGUGACUCUUCCAGUGGUGCAAGUCCUGUGUCUGAGCAAGAGUGCUGCACAACUAGCUUGGAUGGUUUACAACACAUACGGAUAAUUCUUAGAUGUCCAGAGAGAGCAGCUUUGUGGCUAGUAUGUAAUUCAAAGCUGUAAUGUCAUGGUUAAAUUCUGGCACCUUGUCUUUAACAGCAUGUAUUUAUUUUCUUAAUGCUAGACCAUUCCCAAUGAACCUAAAUAGCAAAGUGUAUUCCUGGUGCAGACAGUAGCCAAAGCGUAAAGAAAAUCGUUCAAGUCUGUAUGAAUGUACUGGUGGUCAGUAUUCAGGAAAAAAGUAAUUCACACAACUUUGUGUGUAUUUAAAGUGUUCUAGGGGGAGAUAAAGCUGCAUGAUUUUCGAAACACUGGUGUUCAUGCUCAUGGUACCUUUCGUCAUUCAUGUUGGGCAUCAAGAUGAUUAAAAUAAAACAGAUAUUCAACUGCUCAUUUCACUUCUGUGACUUGCUCCUAAUUAAGAUGUAAUCCCUUUUCUCAUGGAUUAAUCACACCCACAAAGCAACUUACUUUCUCAGUAUUGUACUGAAAACAUCUUUCUCCCAGUAUGUAUAAAAUGUUUUUGUUAGAAGAUAAAGUCCUCCUCACUUAUUUCUGCUUUGAAUAUCUAAAUCAACAAAACAAAGUACUGCAAUUGAAGCAGGAUUUGAAGAAUUCUGAUAAUGUCAAUUAUCGAGAAGAAGGUUUUCAUAAUACAAUAUUUUUAUUUUUCAGAAUCUCUGCUAAGGAAGGUAAAAGAGCAAGAAAGGGAUUUCUGGGAUUCAAAGAAACAGAAAAAAAGGCUCAAUUAGCAUGAAAGCAAAAAUCUGUGCUAAGCCUCAAUACAAACUCAGGUCAAGUGCCUUUCUCUGAAACAUGAAUGUAAGAUUCCUUUCUUAAUCUUCUGGCCAUAUCACAUCCAUAACAGACUUUUUUUAUUUCAAGUCUUUAGAAAUUUGACAAAUCCCAGAGUAUCGUGGGAAGGAACCUUCAGAAAAACAAACAAAUAAAAAACCUCAAACUGUUUAAAGACAUAAGAGAACUAUAAAAAGAAGUAAAACACUAGUCCUUGAGGGGAUUUUUGUAGUCCUAAUGGAUGUCUAGCUUUAGUCUCUUUGAAAGAUAAAUACGUGUUAAAAAAAAUUGUAACAAGGAAAACUAAUUUGAAAAGAAAUGUUGCUCAUUUAGGAGUUACGUUGGUGCUGACUGACUCCUAAUAAAUGAGAGUAAUAAAACCAAUAUUCAUUGGUUAACAACAAUGAAAUUAGAGUUUAAUCUUCAAACAAGCUUUUUCUUUCCAAAUCAUACAUUUGUUUCCCUUACUUGCUGGAGUAGCUUGGGGUGCACUGAACUUCAGUAGCAUCUGCAGGUCUGCAAAAGCUGAACUGUGGCUGGCCAGGAGAUGGCUGGGGAGAGAGGUUCCCUCUAUUCUGUGCAGCAGCAGGCCUAAAGCUGGGGGCUGCUUCAGGCAGGUGGCACUGGAGCUGCUCAGGAAUGUGGCCCAAGGCAGUGUGCCUCUGGGGCAGUGCACAUAGUGUAUGUGCUCAGUGAUGCAUUAAAAGGAUGGCCUUGCUAUGCAGAAGUGAUCUGGAAAUAAUGAACACUAUUACUAAUAAGGUGAAUCACCUUAUUCUGCCAUUCCAUCAUUAAUUUCCACUGCAGUGCUUACCACAGUUGUUUUCUAACUCAUAAUUUCAAAUUUUUCAUAAUAUGAAUUUGUAAUGGUUAACAGGUUGGAUCUUGAGAUGUAUGCUGAAAACUACUUCUGACAGAAGGUUCUCAGGGAAUCACCCGUGACCUGGUUAUGAACCAUAGGAACUUUGCCCGUAGCUGGCAAAGGGUUCCUUUGAUCAGUCUGUCCUGGCUAGGCCAAUGAUUGCUGGGCCAUAGCAAUGACUUGUUCUUUCCAGUUGUGGAUGGAUGAGGAGGGGUUGGCCAAAGUUACACAGAAUCACUGAAGAAUUUAAGCUGAGUUGUGUAAAAGCUAUGUAGUGCCAGCCUACCCAGAGAGUUACCACCUACGCCUCUCUAUGCCCAUAUUGGCUACGCUUUUUAGAGACAGAAAAAAAAGAAAUGUUGCAGUGAUGCUUUUAGUAAGUGUGAACAGAAGAUGACUGGUGAUGGCCUUCCUUCAGCUUGUUGCAUGCCUCAGCAGUAACAGUUACUGUCUUCUCAAUUUAACAUUUGCUUUUAAAAGGAAAGUAAGAAAGCCCACUUCAUAACCACAUCAUUUUUUUACCCCUGCAAAUUCUGGAGAUGCUGAACAGGACUGAGCAUCACAUCCUCUGUAUGGGCUGUUUGUUUAGCAUAAGCUUGGGUUUGUUGUUCUUCUUUAGCUGCAAAGUAAUUUUAAGGAUGCUCAUGAUCAACAUCCUAGAUAAUAAAUGAAGCAGGUAAACAAAGAAGACAGAGCUCUUUUUUUGCUCUGCUGAAGUGUGGUACAGUAAGAAUGAUAGCAUCCAUAAAACGGCACGGUCAUUUGCACUUCUCUACUCUUUUGCUGCUGUGUUUGUUAUUGUAACAUAUGGGGCAAGGACAGAACACCAAAAUUAUUCAUCCCAAGACCUGAAUAAAAAGCAGAGGGCUUUUCGUUCAACUAUUUUUUUAAAUAGACUGUGGUACAGUACAGGGACCUUUCAGGAGCUUCAUAGAGGGGGUCCCUUCUACGCCUUCAUUAGAGAACCAGAAGGGUAAACACCACAGUUCUGCCUCUCUUUCCAGGAAGAAGAUUGGCACAGUAGGUUGAUUAAAGUGGCGAGAGCUCUUGGGCAAAGUAAAGGUCUUGAAAGCUGUAAACUUGUCAUGUGUACUCAGCAUGCUUUUUGUCCACAUAUCUGGCUGCAAACCUCCUACAUAAUUUAAGUGCCCGAAUAUUUUUUGGCCAUACCCAACAGGCAGAUAUUAGCCAGAGAUGUCUUUUUUGAAGAGGAGGACUGUACCAAAUAUAAUAGCCUUCAGGAAUGUAUUUAGAGUCAUAGCUCACUUGAAUUUAAAAAUAAAUAAAUGUGUAUCUAAUAAAGACACUUUUUUGACUGAUAACAGAAGUUAAAUUUUGCAUCAUUUUUUCACCAAAAUCAGUGACCCUCCAGAUACUUCUAAUUUAUGUUCUGAAAUACUGUUAAUGCGGUGAACAUUAUUGUUCUGCCAUUCAGUUUUUGUUCCAUAUCUGGUGACAGAAAAGACAGCUGUGAUGUAUGAGUACUGUACAGGAGUCCUUGGCCCUGCCUCCAGCCCUUUAUCAGAUGAAGCGUAGAACUUUAUGGGGGGCAGUUGGGCUUCUGACCCUUUGAAAAGGGCCUCUCCCUCUGACAGGGAAGUGUUACGUGUCAUUCAAAAGCUGUUUCAAACGACAAGUUAAGAAACAGAGUUAACAGAUGUGAAAGCAGUUGCUUGCAGACUGUGGUCAGCAAGAAAUAGGCUGAAGCAAGAUUCAGACAAGCAGAAAAAGGAAGAAAUAAAUAAACUGAUGCAGCUGCUAUUUGUGUACUAGAAACCUCAUCUAGAAGUAAUUGUCUUGGAAAGAGAGCUGAUGGCAUUAAUAGCUAGAUUCCUUUGGAAGUGUUUUUUUGGCAGUUGUUUCUUGUUUUAGAAAAGAAUUACCUUGCAGAAGCCAUUGUUUUCUGCCUCUGUGUUUAACUUGUGAGUUGUAUUAAUGUAAUUAUUUUAAUUUAUUCCUGAAUACCGGAGUACUUUGUUUAGCACACACAUCUUUAUAGAGAGGAUACUGCAGUAGACACGUGGAUAAUGUCUAAAUUAUUCUGUAUGAUGAUAAGCAUUCAAAGACUGUGUACUGUGUCCAAACCAUUUCUUCCUACAGAACAUUAAGAGCCUAGUGGACAGUAGCCCUCGUGAUGAUUAGUACCAUAGGAGGUAGAAUAAUACAGAUGACAAAUAAGAACGAUCCUGUUUGAGACAGAGAUGCCUUGCCUAAUUUUAGAAAAAGUAAGUUUGUACUAUUUUCAUAAUUUCCUUCUCCAUACGUUUGCCAUAGCCUACCAGUCAGAUUCCUUUAACUGAAGCCAGCUGGCAGGUAACACUGCAGUUUAUCGGCUACUGAGAAAUAAAAUGUUAUGCCUCAGAAAAAUUCCGUUCUCAAAGUCCAUCCCUAAAGAUCAAUAAAGCUUCUCCUCCAGCUAAAGCAUCUCUAAUGAACACUAAGUUUUAAAAUGCAACAUUUUCCCUCAUCUUCCUUAAAAACACAGAUCUAAAACCUUGAACCUAAGGAAAAACCAAAAGCUACAGAGGAUUUCAUAUGACAAAUGGUAAAUCUGGUUGUAGUUUUUGUAGUCAUUAAAUUGCCUUCUGCAUUGGAGUUAAUGAAUAAAUUCAUCUAAAGUUUUCACGGAUGCAAAGAUGUAUUACACAAAAUCUUUAAAAAGUAAAACCAUGAUUCAAUUUUCAGCCUUGCACAGUUACAGUAAAACCUUACAUUCAUUUUUCUGGAUCUCCUGUUCCAAAGCAAAACAUCACAAGACCUAGUUCUAUGUAUUGGUUUUCUUUCCUACUUCAUCAAAGGUGCAUUAUAUUUCUCCUUUCAGUCAGUACCCAGUUACGAUUUAGUUUGGAAUAUCAAACAGUAAAGAACUUCCAAAAUCCAAGUAUAUCUUCAUUAAUAUUUACAUCUUUCCCUUUAAGUCCUGUGAUACAAAUUCCUUCAGGAGGUGGCGGGGAAGGAAUCUGAGCAGUGAGGUCAUGGAGGCAAGGGGGUCUGCGUGUGUGAGGAAUAUCAAGUCCACCUUAGCUGCCAGACAGUGUACACAUCUUCUCCACCUCCUCCCAGCACCUGCUCCUGUUGGUAAAUGUUUUCUUAGUAGGCUCCCUUUAGUUACACAAAUAUUUGUCUGAAGCAAAUUGAAGCCAAAUUCUGUUAUCCUGUAGCAGAGAGAAAUUUAAUUGGUCUCUGGACAGUAUAAACUUUUGAAGACUCUUCAAAUCUUUGGGCUCUCUUUUAAAUCAUUACAUUCUAGCUAACUUUUCUAAUGAGAAAGCACUUGUUUUUUCAGCUAAGAAAUUUAACGUGAAUCACUGUUUGAAGCUGCAAAUGAUUAUAUAAACUUUCCUGCUGCUGUAUGUUGUGUAAAAUUAAACCUUCUGGAAUUCUUUGUGAUACCCUCUAUUACUGGCUACUGACAGGUGUAGUCUACAGAGUUAGUGUCUUGGUCUCAAAAUUAAUGAAGCAGUCAGGGAGCUUUCUGUUAAUUUUUAGAAUGUUAAUCAUUUGAUGCAUUCCCCAUCUUUCUGAUCUUUUCCAGUGGCCUCUGGAGCUCUCUACCUCAAAGAGGUCCAACAACUUGCUUGUUGGUGCAAAAUGACAUAUUCAGCUAUGUAUGGAAUCAAUUGAGUUUGAUAAUUUUAUUUUAGAAAUAUCCUUAAAAAAAAAUUCUGGGACCUUCAUUUAUGAUUUAGUUCGUCGCUGAGAAUUUGCACUAUCAAAUAGUGUUAUUGUGCUCUUUGUGUCUGUUGUAGUUUCCAAGGAAAUAAACAGGAGGCAUUGCGCCUGAGUGACCUAUGUACUUUCUAAUCCCAUCCUCUUCCUCAGAGAAUCCUGUGUAAAUCUCUGAGGAAAUACCUUUUCAGAUUCUAUUGUUCUGUCCCAGAAUCUGAGUGGUGAACUGCCACAGCUUAAAGAUGAAUCUCAAAUGUCAUCAAAGCAUUACAGAACUGGAAAUAUAUCUGUAUCGAAUUACAGCAAAUUUGUGUAUUGGAGAAUUUGUUCACUAACAGUUUCUGCUGAAAAAAAACCCAUGUAAUAUAGGAAGGGGAGAGUGCAUUUUGUUCUUGAUUAUGCAAAUAAAAAUAUGAUUAAACUUGCUUUUCUUGUUCUUUUUGAAACAGGGGUGCUUUUAUGUUUCUGGAUAGGAGUAAUACUAAUAGUCCUAAUACUUUAAAAGGUCAUGGAGCAUGUUCUCAAUAGGAGAUAAUUAUCACUCCCUGUUUUGAUAUAUUGAUCAAAAAUAAGAUGAAAAGAAUCUGAAAGAAACUGAUGAAACUGAAAUAACUCAUCAGUUUUGACUCAGAAAUAAUCUCAGAACUUUGUGUUAGAAAUGAGCCCAUUCACUAAAUUUAAAAAUUUGGAAUAACAUUUAUGUAUUUUUGAUACUCGGUGUUCUUCUGUAAGCACAGAAAAUACAAGGAGGACACUGUAUUCAGCAUAUUUGGUACUUCUCAAUAACUAGAAAUACAUUGACACUUUUGUUUCUAAGUGGCAUUAACAAGGAGAGAAACUCUAAAAAUUCUGUCAACUGUGAGAAACAGGCUACCUGCGGAUUUGCUUUGUCAGCUCUGUUUAUGCAAUAGAAGAAAAGUAAUUUUCAUGAAGGGAAAUGCAGAAAUAUAAGGAAGAACCUGAAAGCUGAGGGGUCUUCUUCCCCGGUUGUUUUUUCUUGUCUGGCAGUAGGAGUUACUUUUUUAUACUGAAUGAUGAGGUUAUAUGGGCAGUGGGAAUGAAAUACUGCGUUUUUUUGUGGUCCCAUUCAGACAACCAGUUUCAGUGUGCUAAAAGAGGGCCCAUCACUGGCCCUUUUAAAACUAUUCCUGCCUUACGUAGCAGCAGAAAUGACUCCUGUCCUCGUGCAUACCUCGUGCAUGCCAAGUACCAGUCUGUGUUCAACUGCUUAUAUAAAACAUCUAUUCUGUUUUCAUUUCAAAGCUGGUCUUGUCAUUUCAAAGUUUACCUUUUGAUGGCAGCUGAUUUUUUCUGGGAAAAGAACUUGCUAUUAGGGACAGAGUUCUGUCACCUCUGGAAAAGAGACCAGGUAACACCGUGGUGCAUUUGGGUAAAUUCAGGAUGCCAACUUUAUCCCUCAGAAGCUAGAACAAGAAAAAUACUAAAGAUUCCCUUGCUCUUCAGCAUUCUAAAACAAGUAAACAAAAGAACUGCAUUUCUGUACACUGGCAGAAGGAAGAGCUACUAGGAGAACCAGUUUUGAAAGGUUAUGGAAAAAGUGAAACUGACUUGUUUUGCUUGAACUUCCAGACAGUAAAAUAAAUACUGUAAUAUUUUUAAAAAUAAUCAUACUUUUUUCACCAAACGAUAACAAUGUGUAAAGCACCAAAAUUAGGAAGGUUACAUUGCACGUGUAUAACCCCCAUUACAUUUGCUUUUUCCCAUUGUAACUCCCUUAGAAACGGAAUAAUUUUCAUGUUAAUGACAGCAGAAAAAUCAAGAGCCUUCUACCAUUUGGAAAUCAUCAGCAUUUUCUAACAAGAUCUCCCCUCAUGUCCCCAGCUGAGGGGGAGUCAAUCCAUGAUGUGGCUCAUUGAUUUUUAGGAAAUGUAAAAUCUUUGUGGAUAGAAGGCUCACCUUGCUGAGUUUGAAACCAUGCGUGACUGAAAACCUUCCAACAACAGCCUUCCUAACAUCAUUUAUGGGUGGAACAGGGACAGUCAGCACCUAUUAUGUCCUCUUCCUCAUCAUUCCCUGUGAGACUCACUGACGUGUAAGAUGGAAAUGUGGAGCUCAGCAUUCAGAUACAUACUUAAAAUGAGGUGUGAGAGUCCUGACCAAAGCCAGCACAAAGAGUGGGGAAAAAAGUGAGAACCUGUAGUAACGAUGAUAGAGAUGGUAUUGACAGUCUGACAUGACAAAUCCUUGUUUGCAGGGGGAAUGACUUGCAGUUAGCAGAUAAGGUCAGACAGAGGAUGUUUCUUACCAAGUCAUCAUUGCUUGCAAAAAAUGUUGCUGGUUCACCCUGAGGCAAGUGGCCCUGUCAUUCACACCAGCUUCUGCCAUUUUACCCUGAUACAAACCUGACCUUUCUAUCCUUGAAGCUUGUAUUCUAACUAUACAUGUGUCUUGGGCAUUGUAGAUAAAGGGAGGAAUUGUGAACUUCCAUUAUCUAAACAAACAUUUAAAUAUUGAAACAAAACAGUUAGUUCCUUAGUUUUUUCCAUAAGGUAUUUUAGUCAGUAAAUAUCCUAUAAUCCCCUAUUCUUGACUGUGUUCAUAGCCAUUUUGCCAAGAAAAGGUCUACAUUAAGAUCUCAAAGACGUGUAUCAUUCUCCAGUAUUUGUUUUUGGUUUUACCUUUGUGCUAUUCCUGAAUCAGUUCAAUCUAGUUCAAAAAAAAAAAAAAAAAAUACAAGCACAUAUAAUAACUAGAUAGUAUAUUGCAAAAUGAAACAAAAGCAAAGCUUGGUGAUAUUUCCAGUGCACUCUACUGGCAUUCAACCUUUAUCUGUCAUGCCUCUUAUAGUACUGCAUUAAAAUGCAUUCAUUUUCAGUUUUCACUGUCCUUAUAUUUUACUUUCUGCUUCUACUUGUAUUUACUGUUAUUGUUUCUUGUUAUCUCAUUGACUUCCAUGAGGCUUUGAUGAAUUUUGGUGGAAAAGACAGCAUAUAUUCAAACUCCUACUCUUUUGAAAUAAGGAUUGCUAGGAAGAAUGGGGCAAAUUCUUAUAAAUAUAAAUUGAAAUAGCUUGAAAUGGAAUCGCUAAGCUAGUUAUGUCAUAUUAGAGUUAAAUUUUGCAAAAUAAAAAUGAAAAUACAGGGAAAUAGAAGUGCAACAGGAAAAUUAAAUUAUUUCACUUUUCAAAUUUUGAUUUUUGUUUUCAUUCUUAGUGGAGAACCACCAAGCACCUUCCCUUUAAUAAUUAUAAAUAAAUAACAGUAAGAGUGACACUGAGAUUGAAUGCUAAAGGAGGCUGGAACCAGGGGUUGCCAACUGGAGAAAAUGGAUGUGUGUGUAUGUGCUCUGAAGGGAGGACAGAGAUGAAAUAGGAGAGGGUGGCAAGAGAUCAUUAAAAGAUUGAUUGAAAGCCAAUGCCUAGAAAGUAGAAUUAAGAAUAAUGCGGCAAAGAGCCUGGGAAGGAAACCUGGAGAGGUGAGACUGCAGUGCUGGCAUGUGGAGGUGCUGGGCUGUCACAAGGCAGAAUGCUGCUAUUCUGCGGGCAGAACUGUUGACUGAUGAGAAGACAGCAGUGAGACCAAGGCAGAAACAAAGUGGACAGCCUGAAAAGGAGACUUCUGAGUCUCCCUAUUUCUCUGCUAUCAACAAAAAUCCACAUCAACUAGCAGAGAAUUCAUUUUUGCACGAUACCAUCACUGUCAUUUUCAAACUCUUCUUUGUUUUCUAUCUGUAGUUACUUUCAAUAGAGUGGUGAGAUGGAAAUGUGUCUGGGUCAGAGAAGCAUCAUUAACUUCUUACAAAUGUCAUGAACCUUGAUUGUGCCUGUUUUUGCUGAAAAGGACCAAAAUCAGAUCUGCAAACUGAGUCAGUAUUGCCACUUACCUAUAUACAUACUCCUAAAGCUCACAGGAAACUGACAAUGAGGUUUUAACUUUCCUGUUACAUUAAGACAGUAAGCAGUAACCCAAAAUGAAGUGUAUAGCGUGUUUCCUAGAGAAAUAAUUUGAAAUGACCACUGAAAUCUUUCAAUUUUUUUCCUUGUACCACAACACGAAAAGACAAUUAAUCGUUUCAUUGGGCAAAGCUACAUUCUGGUAUCUGCCAUACAUGCAUAGUUAAUGGUUCUGCCUGGCUGAUUUUGGCUAUGUUACUGUAUUGCUUUCCUUUUAUUUGCCAGUUGACAAUCUCUUCACAGAACUAAUGAACUAAUACGUUAUCGGGUUUGUUUCUCUUUAUUUACCAUUAAGCAAUAGUUUUUGUUUUGACUAUUUGCUAGUCAGUAUUUUCAUGCAGUAUUAAUUGCAUGCUUUCUUCCAGUUAAAAAUGUCAAGGUUAUUUAUUAUUUCCUCUAUAGUAUUGAAAAACUUACAGUAUUUUCAUUGCUUUAAAAGGUCUUUGGUCUUUUUUUAGCCCUUCUUAAAAUUACUAGUAUUCAAAUACAGUUUGGCUGCUUCUUAUGGGAGAGCAUAAUUUAAUAUUAAUACAGUUAUAAUCUUUUAUAAGUAUUAUGAUAGGACCAACUCAUAUGUUGGAAUAGCAAACUUUAAGCUUUUUAUUUAAUUUUUUAAUGUUUUGAUUUGUAAAUGAAGAAAUGGAAGGAUCAGCAGGGUAGCAGGAAGCAAGACCAGCAAAGUAAAUAGAAAGAACAGUGUGGAUGUUUGAAAAAUAGUUUGUUCUUGUGGAAGACCUCUCUCUUCGUCUGACACCCUUACAUCCUUUACUUGGUGCACAGCAUGUUUACUAAGUUAUCUGAUUGUAGUUCCACUUACUAUUUGCAAAGGCAGAAGAUACAGCAUACACAUUUUAACUUUGUUUUAAGACAGUUGCUUUUUUUUAAAAACAAACAAAAAAUCAAAAACCAAAACCAUAAAUACUGCCUUUUGUUGUGGAAGAAGAUACUGGACAAAUCCCAUUCUUAAAACUCAGAUUAUUAUUCCUGUUUCCUGGCUGCCCUGAGAACAGUUUGACAGAGAAGCUGGUCACAGGCACAGGCAGGACACUGAGUAGUGCUGGCCGUGUGAGGGGGCACAGGGCCGCUCUGCAGCAGGAGCAGGGCUCUGAGUCCUUGCCCAUGCACACUGCCCAGUGCUGCCACUGCUGUGGUGUUCCAUAGCUGAGCUGGCCAUGCCGCUGCCCUUGCGUCUUUCCCUUUCAGUUCCAGAGUUGGCUCCUAACUGUUAUUUGCAGCAGUGCAAAUUAUAACCGUAGGUAUAAUUCAGGUAUACAGAAAAUAAAGAUCUCACAGUGUAUGAAAACUGUUUCAAAACAAUUGUAUUGCUAAAUCCAGAAACACUCCUCAUGCUUCAUUUUGAUGAUGUACAGAAUUCAUGCAUUUCUGUACGCACCAGAAGAACUUGAGAUUUUAGUUUAUAUAAUUAGAAAAUGUGCAACAUAGUAGAUGGCUUGUCGUAAUCACUCUCCAAAUACAAUUUUAUACACUGAUAAUCCUGAGAUGAAACUGUUGAGAUUAACUGUGGAAAUACAACUUUCCACAGGAGUAGUAUGUUUUGGAAUCUGAUUUUGUAUCCUUUUUGUUAUGAAGAUCACCUACUGUUUAAAGAGAAGCUUCUCAUGUUUGUGUAAUUGCACCUUCACUUGGCCAGCUCACCCUGGAGAGCAUCAUAAUGGAAGAUGAGAAAAUGUGUUAAGGGUGAAAAAUCACCGGGAGUCCUCUGCUGCUACUGUUCUAAAAUAAGUGUGAAGACAUAUAGAUAAAUGCUCUUUUAACUUGUCAUUUUAAUUUUAAUACAUAAUCAGAGAACACUUCUCUCGUAUUCACAUGUAUUUGUUAACUUAAGGGAACACUGAGGUCAUGAAAGAAGGAAACACAACCACAGUGAACUUGGCUAUUCUAGUAGCAGAGUUUUCCUCAAUUACUCACUCAAUUACUCUUGCUUCAAAUGCAGCAUUUGGUGUUAAGAACAUGCAUUCAUUUAACAGUAGUCCAGAAGGAUUUCAGAGGCUGAUUGAAAUUCACUGUUUUGCAUUGAAGGUUGCAACAUUGCCUAUUUAUUGCAAGGCUACUGAAGAGGUAGAGAUAAAUGACUUGGGAUCUGUGGUAUGCUUUUUGGAUACUAUUAUUUUAGAUAUAGAGCAAAACAUUAGGGAAAUCACAACUUUUCAGUGCCAACACAUGACCAAAUUAUGCAAAUGUGUAUACAUUUGUAAAUCCUAAUUAAAAUGCUGAACACAUGGCAAUAGAGAUUUGAGAAACUUGUCUGACAAAGAUUUUAACAAGUUCACUUCUGAGAGCAAUCCAACUUUUGAGGCAACCUAUUUCCAAGUAGAAUCCUUCACUAAAGUCUAUUAAAAUCAUGAAAAAAGACUCCCUUCCACCUGGAUGAUAAUUCAGAUAAAUCUUCUGCCCUAUGGCAGAUUCUCACCUUGCAGUGUUGAGCCUUAAAUGAGACUCUCAUUCUGGGAUCAGUGUGGUCUGGGAGGCAGGGAUAAACACAACAGAAGAAAUAAAAACAACCAGAAUGUGAUUUGAAGUAAAGCUUUUGCCUUCCUUUGCAAUAGCUUACAUUUUCUUAUACACUCAGUGAUCUCUUUAUGCACCUAAAAGACUAUCUCCUUUGUAGAUAGCAAUGUGCAUUUUAUAGGUGUCCUUGUUCUCCAGCUUUGGAGCUGGGAACAGUAUGUCCACAUCAUGCAGUUCCAUGCCUCAGCUAACUGGGAAGGCAUAUGUGAUCUGCAAAGUUUUUUAGAAUGGGAAGCAAAAAAACAGUUUUGGGAACAAAGCUUUCCUGUAAUUGUUACACUUUUAUGAUGCAAAUUGAUCUCGUAAUUCUCAGUUCACAGGAAAAUCUACACCGUACAGCCACUGGUCACUGAUGAGUUCUUUAUCUAUCAGAAUUUUGACAACAAAAGGGAAUUAUGGAGUGAACUAACAUCUUAAACUACAGUGGAAGGCAAUAAACUCAGACUGGGAACUCAAAUUCUCCACAUCAGAACAGCAUAAAAUACCUAUUAGAUUAAGAUACCCCUUCAAGUAGAGGUCAGGUACCACCAAGACAGGAGAAAAAUCCACUGCUGUUUAUUGCUUAUAUUAAAUUUAAAUUAUAAAGAAAGCCCUUUGUCAAAAGGGUAUGUCAGUUUUCUAUAAAAGGAACUUAACAGUACUUUGAAUUUACAUUAAUUCAUUUAUCAUUUUAAAAAGCAAAAUAUUUAUCAUAUUGAACUCAAUUGAAGAGAACAAAUUUGGUGUAAAGAUAGUUAUUUAAAGAGAGAUAAUGCUUUAUCUCUGCCAGUAGUAGCAUUAUAUGUCAGAAAGCCAAUCAAUUCUGUCAUGGACCAGGAUGCUGCUUAAGAAAUGGAAAACAUCUCUCGUGGCAGGUUCACUAUUCAUUUCUGACAUCUGGCUGGUAUGAUAUCGAGCGCUUAAAUUUAUGACAGAUGUUAGUCUGAAAAUACAGCAUUAUGCUUUUAUCCACUGAAACUCCUUCUGAGAUUCCUCACAGCUGAUUUGUGUGAUAUUUUUAAGUAAAAGGUUUAUUUUAGAAGGCUUUUUUAUAAAUGCUUGGUUAUACAUAGAUAGCCAUUCUUCUGCAUGUUUGUAAAAGCAGUACGAUAUCUACCCUGAAGUAUUUUUUGCACAUUACAGGACUAAAUUUGCUUCUUCUUGGUGUUUUUUUUUUCUUCCAUUUGUGUUCAAUUAAGCAUUUUUUCCCUCUUAGAUGAUUAAGUUUACCAUAACUCUGGAUGGGUAAUUCAUAAUGGCUGACAUUUUACUAAAGUUUUUUGGGAGUGAAACUUGCUAGUCUACUGGCAGCAAGAAAACCUUCUACCAACUAGUGCAAGAACAGUAGAAACCCGCAUUUUUGAAAUGUCACUCAACUGAUGAAACAGGCAGCCUCCUUCCACAAUCCUACAUUUAGUGAUUUUUCUGUAUUGCCAGAUCUGUACAGAAAAUGCUUUUUGCUAAAAAAGAAUUAUGAAAUGCUUUUAAUGUGGUAAAAGAGAGUUGUACUCAGUAUUAAAUCUGGGCAAAAUUUGCAGUGAUAAAGAUGUGGUGGGAAGGUGACCAAUGUUUAAGAUAGCUGUCCCUGUCCCUUUCUUAGCCAUUCCAUCUUGAUAUUUAUUCUUAACAUUUAUAAUGUGAAGUUACUUUAGACAGCUGUUGUGUUCUAACAUGGCUGUGCUCAGUUAUGUCAAAUUAAAAUAAUGUAAUUUUUAUUUUUUAUGUUUGAAGUCUAUACAUUAUUCUCAUAAUUGAUUGAGAAACAUACUAAUGUGUAUUUCUAUACAGUACUGACCAUUUUAGGAGAAAGCAUAGUAAAUAAACUUACAAAAAGAUUUUUUUUUCUUAAAGAUUUCCAUACUAAUUCUGUCCAAUUAUAUUUCAAGUAGGGUAUCUGAAGGAACCAUUGCCAUUUAGUGUACAGGUCUGGUCAAGACUAAAUUUUCCACCAUGUCUGAGGAAGAAGGCAAAGCAUUCAGGAUGGAUAUUAGGAAGAAUUUCUUCUUAGAAAGAGUGGUGAGGCAUUGGAACAGGCUGCCCAGGGAAGUGGUGGAGUCACCGUCCCUGGAGGUGUUUAAGGAAAGGGUAGAUGUAGUACUUAGGGACAUGGUUUAGUGGGCAAUAUUGGUGGUAGGUAAACAGUUGGAGUACAUGAUCUUAGAGGUCUUUUCCAACCUUAACGAUUCUAUGAUUCAAUGAUUCUACUGUGAGACAAUAGCUUUGCAACCUAUUAGAGAACUCUGCACUUGUUUUAAGCUAAUUUGUGGCAGCAUUCUUGUCUAGCUUUGUCUCCUCCUCAGCUUUACAUGUAAAGCUGAAAUGAUAAGUUUGGACUUGUCGAAGAUGAUCAGGACAGCUUGCAGACAUUUCAAACCAGUAAAAUUCAUUCUUCAUAAAUACUGAAUUCUUUUUUGUGAGAGAGUGUUGGGAAAACUUGUUUGUUCUACAAAAAAUGUUGCGUCAGCAGUGCUCCAGAUGGAUUUACAACUUUUUCUUCUAGAGGGCUUAGCAUAUUGAUCUUUGCUCACUGCACAGAACAGCUGCCCAUCAUCAGUAAAAUGCUAAAUUGGCAUUUCUCUUCUAGAACAAGUUAACAGCCCAUUAAUGUGGGUUUUCCCAUUGAGUUCUGUAGCGCCCAGAAUGCUAUAAUAUGAAGAAAAAAUUGCAAGCAAAAAUAAUUCCAUGUUAAUUACUUGGGGCUACCUGCACACCUGUAGAAACAAAAUGUGUAAUUCAUGUAAUUUCACUUUUUGGGAUAAUUGGUGGCAUUUUCUAAAGACAAAAACAUGAAUAAGUAAAUAAAAAGCUGAAUAAAUUGAAAUAAAGGCACGGGAUAAAAAAUACAGGUCUGUCACAUGCUGAAGUUGUAAAAGGUUUUAAAAAAACUACUUGGGGGAAAAGGAAUGAGUUAAAAUAUUAUGUCAUCAGAUCUGCAACAUAGCAAGAGGAAAUGACAGUGGAAAGUGAACAACUGAAUUUGAACACAAACAAUACAUAUAGAAUAUUAAAAAAAAAAGAAAAAGAAAGUAGGCUGCUUUUUUUCUGAAGUACCCCUACAGAGCUUUUUGUAACUUGAAAUCAAUCCCUCUUUAAGGCUGAAUUGUGUCUUUUCUCAAACUAAAAACAAUGACAUGAAGAAAGAGACUGAGAGUCUUUGUCUUCAAGUAACAAGUAAUCUGGUACAGCCAGAGAUUUCUUUAAGCCUACUACAAAUGGAAAGUAUUUCUAAUGCAGGUGAAAGAGAAGAUGUUAAAAGCAAAGAACAUGAGUAUUCAGUAUGCCGUUACACGGAGCACAAGCAAAUGAGGAGGCUUUUCUAAGUUUCACAUCUGUCUCACAAAAACAAACGUUUCUGUGAAGCCCUCGGCAAUCUAUAAAAGGAAUAGAACGUUUGUCUAAAGUGCCUCUCAGUUGCGCAGAGACAGACAAUAAGCAGUACAGUAUCAUUUGCAGAGAUAAAUGUAUUUACAAAGAAAGUCUACAUUAUUAAAUUGACUUUUAGGGAAACUUCUGGGAAAGUUCUUAAACUUAAGGCUCAUUCUGAGCUUGUGAUCUUAUUUUGAAACUGACAAGGCCUACAUAUCCAUGUUUAUUAAACAUUGUUCAAUAUAUUAUUAUUUAUGGAGUUUCCAGUACGGGGAAAAAAAGAAUUUUGAAGCUUUUCCAUCAAGUCAGCUCUCCAUUACCUGGGAUGAAAGCAGACUGGAAGAAGCCAUCUUUCCUGGGCUGAGGAAGCACUUCAUUCCUCUGUUCCUGCACCUGGUGACUGGCUGUCCCAGACCUGCUCAGUCCGGAUGCUACCCAAACACAGGAAGCCAAGGCAGGUGCUGCAGCUGGGGCUGACCAACCCAGUACAAUGUCUUGGAACCAGAAGUGCGCAGCAGAGGUGCUAAAACUGACCCCAUAAUAUUGAUGAGCACUGAGCAGCCUCAGUGCAUUACCAUGCAAACUGUCCCUGUUUGGCUCCUCCAGAUACCACACACCGGCUGCACCCCAGUGCUGGCAAGACCUGAGCUGCCAUGGUCUGUAUCAAUUUUCAUCCUGCGUACGUACAAAAGGUACUGCAUACACACAAAACCAGGCCGCACACAGUGCACGCUGAAUUAUGUAUGUACAGAAAUUUAACAAGUGGCUUCAGGGAUAUUGUCUGAAGUAUUUACUUCCUCUGAAAUAGCUCAGUUUGCCAAAACAGAGGAGUAAGUCCCAUUCCACCUAAACAGAAGGGUAAACUGUGGCAAGAAGCAGCGCCUGAAAGUAACCACAGGACAACCUCCCCAGAUGCUAGUAGCAGGAAUCUUGUACCAAAGAAGUUAUUUGGUGGCGUUACAAGGCACACACAUCGAUGACACUGUCUCACUUUUUGUAUAUUGGAAUGCUUUGAAUUGUGGUGUCAUUAAAAACUGGUAAGAGAAGGAGGAAUUGUCUUCAGACAUCUUUGCCUU